UACGUAGGACGCGAGCGUUGUUCGGAAUUACUGGGCGUAAAGAGUGUGUAGGCGGUGCUCUAAGUUCGGUGUGAAAUCUCCUGGCUUAACUGGGAGGGUGCGCCGGAAACUGGAGUGCUCGAACGUGGGAGAGGAAAGCGGAAUUCCUGGUGUAGCGGUGAAAUGCGUAGAUAUCAGGAGGAACACCUGCGGUGUAGACGGCUUUCUGGACCAUUGUUGACGCUGAGACACGAAAGCGUGGGUAGCAAACAGG
rnacentral:rRNA from 1 species